rnacentral:miRNA from 1 species
UCUGGCGGCAACUGUUGUGGAC